rnacentral:rRNA from 1 species
AGUGAACGCUGGCGGUAGGCCUAACACAUGCAAGUCGAACGGCAGCACAGUAAGAGCUUGCUCUUACGGGUGGCGAGUGGCGUACGGGUGAGGAAUACAUCGGAAUCUACUUUUUCGUGGGGGAUAACGUAGGGAAACUUACGCUAAUACCGCAUACGACCUACGGGUGAAAGCAUGGGAUCUUCGGACCUUGCGCGAUUGAAUGAGCCGAUGUCGGAUUAGCUAGUUGGCGGGGUAAAGGCCCACCCAGGCGACGAUCCGUAGCUGGUCUGAGAGGAUGAUCGGCCACACUGGAACUGAGACACGGUCAAGACGCCUACGGGAGGCAGCAGUGGGGAAUAUUGGACAAUGGGCGCAAGCAUGAUCCAGCCAUACCGCGUGGGUGAAGAAGGCCUUCGGGUUGUAAAGCCCUUUUGUUGGGAAAGAAAAGCAGCAGGUUAAUACCCAGCUGUUCUGACGGUACCCAAAGAAUAAGCACCGGCUAACUUCGUG